CCCACAGCCAUGGGGGAGCCUUAUGGGUCCCUAUGGGGUCUCUAUGGGGUCUCUAUGGGUCCCUAUGGGCUCCCUAUGGGGUCUCUAUGGGGUUUCUAUGGGUCUGUGGCUCCCUAUGGGGUUCCUAUGGGGUCGCUAUGGGGUCGCUAUGGAGUCGCUAUAGGGCCCUGUUGUGCCCCACAGCCAUGGGGGAGCCUUAUGGGUCCCUGUGGGGUCCCUAUGGGUUUCUAUGGGUCUCUAUGGGUCUCUAUGUGCUCUGUGGGUCCCUAUGAGGUCUCUAUGUGUCCCUAUGGGGUCUCUAUGUGUCCCUAUGGGUCUCUAUGGGGUCUCUAUGUGUCUCUAUGGGUCUGUGGCUCCCUAUGGGUCCCUAUGGGUCUCUAUGGGGUACCUGUGGGGUCCCUAUGGGUGGCUAUGUGUCUCUAUGUGUUUCUAUGUGUCUCUAUGGGUCCCUGUUUGUCUCUAUGUGUCCCUAUGGGGUCUCUAUGUGUCUCUAUGGGGUCUCUGUGAGUCUGUGGCUCCCUAUGGGGUCUCUAUGGGGUCCCUAUGGGGUCUCUAUGUGUCUCUAUGGGGUCUCUGUGGGUCUGUGGCUCCCUAUGGGGUUGCUAUGUGUCCCUAUGGGGUCUCUAUGUGUCCCCAUGGGGUCGCUAUGGGGUCUCUAUGAGUCCCUAUGUGUCCCUAUGGGUCGCUAUGGGGUCGCUAUAGGGCCGUGCUGUGCCCCACAGCCAUGGGGGAGCCUUAUGGGUCCCUAUGGGGUUUCUAUGGGUCUCUGUCUCCCUAUGGGGUCGCUAUGGGGUCGCUGUAUUGCUGUGCUGUGCCCCACAACCAUGGGGGAGCCUUAUGGGUCCCUAUGGGGUCUCUAUGGGUCCAUGGCUCCCUAUGGGGUCUCUAUGGGUCUGUGGCUCCCUACGGGGUCCCUAUGGGGUUGCUAUCGGGUCUCUAUGGGUCUCUAUGGGUCCCUAUGUGUCCCUAUGGGGUCGCUAUGGGGUCGCUAUAGGGCCGUGCUGUGCCCCACAGCCAUGGGGGAGUCUUAUGGG
ensembl:lncRNA